rnacentral:lncRNA from 1 species
AUCACUCAUACCAGCUCCAGAAUAAACUAUCUCUUAUUCCCUUUAAGAUUAGAGCUGUGGUUUUUGCAUUGACAAUUAGGGAUCCCAAUCUGGGGUUCUGAGAAUGAUCUUUCUUUUGGAGGAAUCACAGGAAUGGAAGCCAGGUUCCAGCAAGGACCCAUUCUUGGAGUCCAGACAGCCUGAUGUUAAGUUCUCCACUGAUGUUGGAGAUAGAAAACCUAGGAAAGAGUUCAAGAGUCAGAGAUGCAAGCAUCCCCAACAGAAUACAAGAGAUUGAAGAGAUAAUCUCAGGGAGGCAGACAUGGAGGAUGGAGACUGGGUCAUCUGGAUGUCACAUCUGGCACCUAGGAGUGGAGACAUAAUGAAUAUCUACAUAGGAAGGACCUAACACAAUUAUUUAACAGACCUUGAAAAACCAGUUCUCAACUUCAGAUGAAAAAGCGAGAAUCCAGUACAGUUAAAACAAUCAUGAACAAUAAAAGAACUUCUGGAGAUAUCACCAUGUCUGAUCUCAAGCUAUAUUCCAGACCAAUAGUAAUUAAGCCUGC